UUCAAUGGAAAAAACCAGAUGAAGAAAAAAAAUAGUACAAUGCUCUAAAAAUUUGCAAAAUCUUUCGUGCUGAGAAAUGAGAUGAGAAUGCUCUACAUAGCUCUCUCCAUAAGCCUACAAAGUCGUCUUCUAAUCCUUUGAACCAAGUAAGGCGGUGCCUUUGAUGGUGAGAACGAAGAGUUAGCAUUUUGUCUUCCCGCGUGCCUGGUAGUAGUCCAGGACGGUGUCAAUGUGCUCUAGCCUCUAGGUGCUCGUCUGAGUCCGCAAUGCCAUCAUAGCUUUCCAUUUUGGGAAGUUUCUCCAAAGUUCUUGGGAUUCGAGAUUCCAAAAUCCUCAAAGUAAACGGGUCCGUCCUGGAUAUUAGAGAUAUAGUUAGUUGCAUUAGUUACUAGUUAGUUAGCCUAUAAAUAAGUCAUUUGUAUCUAAUUUUCUUAUCAAUUGUAAUUCUACUCAUUAUCAUCAAUACAAGUUUUCUCGCUUUUCUCUCUACUUUUUCAUGGAUGUCAUGUUCUUAACACUCGAUAACGGUUAGAUCCCCUUCUUCGUUCGUCCUCAUAAGGAUGGUCUCUGCUGCAUCUAUUGUGGCUGGAAGGGAGAUUUGGUAAAUUCCAUCAUCGUCCUCCAUUUCCGUUGUUUCCGUUCUUGCUGUUUCCUGGAUCAUUUGUGUUUCUGGUACUGGCAUUGUAUUUCUCGUUGUUUCUAAAAAUUAGCAAACUCAACUGUCUCAUUGAAUUUAUAUUUGUAACCUAAUAUAUCUAAAAUAAUAAUCCGAAACUUCUGAGUUUAAAACAUACUAGUAUCUUUUUUUUACACCUAGAAAAAAGAAACUACAUUUUAUUCCUUGGCUCAAAAGACUAGUAAAUCGUAUUAGUCGUAAUGUGAAAGAACUGUAUCAUUGAGAUUUGAAUAACGGCCCAAUGGUGUGCGUAUGAGUUGGUGUAAAAUAAUAGUUAUUUUUCUUUUACUAAAAUAAUAAAAUAUACAUUCAUUCAAAUUAAUACUCAACAAAUUUUAAAUUCUUAAAAUUGAAAACAAAGAAUUUACGAAAAAAAAUUUCACAACAUUCAAGUUAUUAUAGUAUAGAACGGAAAAAUGCUUUCUCUAUAGUGAGUUCUUGAGUAAAAAUCAU
rnacentral:lncRNA from 1 species